AAAAAAUACGUUACAUUAAUUCGUAUAUUCUUAGAACUAUGGCCUAAGAGUCUCUACUAGGAGCCUAAAAAUCCUAACUACGAAUGGGUGAGAUUAGUCU
rnacentral:ncRNA from 2 species